UGCUUGCUUAGCUCAGCGGUAGAGCAUCUCGUUUACACCGAGGCGGUCGGCGGUUCGAUCCCGUCAGCAAGCAU
rnacentral:tRNA from 1 species